GACGAACGCUGGCGGCGUGCUUAACACAUGCAAGUCGAACGGAAAGGCCGCUUUCGGGUGGUACUCGGGUGGCGAACGGGUGAGUAACACGUGAGUAACCUGCCCUUUACUUUGUGAUAACUUCAGAAAACGGGGGCUAAUACCUGAUAGGAGCUCCUACUUCAUGGUGGGGGUUGGAGAGUUUCGGCGGUUGGGGGUUGACUCGCGGCGUAUCAGCUUUUUGGUGUGGUAGUGGCUUACCAAGGCGUUGACGGGUAGCCGGCCUGAGGGGGUGAGCGGCGGCACUGGGACUGAGAUAAGGCACAGAUUCCUAAGGGAGGCAGAAGGGGGGAAGAUUGAACCAUGGGUGGAAGGCUGAUGCAGAAGCGCCGUGUGCGGGAUGACGGCCUUCGGGUUGUAAAAAGGCUUCGCGCAAGACGAAGCUUUGUGUGACGGUAGUGGGUAAAGAAGCACCGGCUAACUACGUG
rnacentral:rRNA from 1 species